rnacentral:rRNA from 1 species
UACGGAGGAUGCGAGCGUUAUCCGGAUUUAUUGGGUUUAAAGGGUGCGUAGGCGGACCAAUAAGUCAGUGGUGAAAACCUGCAGCUUAACUGUAGAAUUGCCAUUGAUACUGUUGGUCUUGAGUAUGGUCAAGGUAGGCGGAAUGUGUAAUGUAGCGGUGAAAUGCUUAGAUAUUACACAGAACACCGAUUGCGAAGGCAGCUUGCUGGGCCAUUACUGACGCUGAUGCACGAAAGCGUGGGGAUCGAACAGG